rnacentral:misc_RNA from 1 species
AUACCGUGCCGCUUCAAUCCGUCGCGAUAUCCGGCCAGUCGUUCGCCGGCGUUGAACCCGCCGGGACGGCCCGCAAGAUGUGCGAUCCGCUUGUGACCCAUCUGCGCCAGAUGAUCGACGGCAAUUGCCGCAGCGGCGCGGCUGUCGAGCACGACACAAUAAGGGCUGCCCGACAGUUGCCGGUUGAGCAGCACGAAUGGCGUAUGGGUCGAGUCAAGUUCUUCGCGCAACAGGGCGUCAUCGUCGAGGCUCGCAACCAGCAGCCCGUCGGCGCGGUUGCCGUGAGACAGACGGUGAUAGACGGCG